rnacentral:lncRNA from 1 species
ACCUGGCCGACCACCACUGUCGUCAGCAUGCAGGAGUAGCGAGCAGGUCGGCGGCCUAGCCACGGCGCACCCAUUCACCGGAGGUCAUCUUCUCGCUCUCGCUCUCUGCCCCCUCUUCACAGAGGCUGAGAAGGGUGGAGUCGUGGAGAGAAGGAAUGAGGUACGGAUCGAACACUUAGUGGCCUGAGUUGUUGCACAUUAGUGCUGAUAGAAACAACGAAGUGGAUUCAUACGUAGGGCAGACCUUCUCGUUCUAGAAGUCUUAUAAAUCCUAUCUAACAGCUACAUGAACUCAGCAGUCUGCGGCAACAUCCUAGUAGCAAAGCGCCGAGCCAUGAUCUUUUUGUCUUCGCAUUCCGAGCGGAGCUGAGGACAAGUCGGCGUUGUGGGUUGGCCUACAUGCCCCUAUACAGCCGGCCGAAAAGAUUGCUCUAGAUGUAGCCCAACCCGUGAUGUGAAUGGAUUUUGUGGGUGGCGUGCAAGGAGCCAAGCAUAUAUGGAUAUAUAACAGGCCAUGAUCAUCUCCUCUCUCUAUAUAUCUUUUGAUCCAUCGAACUUUUUUUCUGCUCGUUUUUUUCGAAAAGGAUAUGAUCGAUGUUGUGUGUUACAUCUAUACGGCAUGCUGCUUCUCUUGUGAAUGCUUGGGUUCAAUUCGAAAUGCUUCUGCAGGGGGAGAAUUUAGGGAUUCGACGAAGCUCUAAGGCAGGUGCGCGUUCCGAUCCUCUUUCAAAGAUAGAUCGAUCGAGACUACAAUGACAUCGAUCUGCUUUUCUUUUGCUAACAAUGGGACCCUAGCCGCCUCUUUUCG